rnacentral:rRNA from 1 species
GAUGAACGCUGGCGGCGUGCCUAAUACAUGCAAGUCGAGCGAACGGACGAGAAGCUUGCUUCUCUGAUGUUAGCGGCGGACGGGUGAGUAACACGUGGAUAACCUACCUAUAAGACUGGGAUAUCUUCGGGAAACCGGAGCUAAUACCGGAUAAUAUUUUGAACCGCAUGGUUCAAAAGUGAAAGACGGUCUUGCUGUCACUUAUAGAUGGAUCCGCGCUGCAUUAGCUAGUUGGUAAGGUAACGGCUUACCAAGGCAACGAUGCAUAGCCGACCUGAGAGGGUGAUCGGCCACACUGGAACUGAGACACGGUCCAGACUCCUACGGGAGGCAGCAGUAGGGAAUCUUCCGCAAUGGGCGAAAGCCUGACGGAGCAACGCCGCGUAAGUGAUGAAGGUCUUCGGAUCGUAAAACUCUGUUAUUAGGGAAGAACAUAUGUGUAAGUAACUGUGCACAUCUUGACGGUACCUAAUCAGAAAGCCACGGCUAACUACGUG